rnacentral:rRNA from 1 species
UACGUAGGGGGCAAGCGUUGUCCGGAUUUAUUGGGCGUAAAGAGCGUGUAGGCGGUUUGGUAGGUCCGCUGUGAAAACUCGAGCUCAACCUCGAGACGCCGGUGGAAACCAUCAGACUAGAGUCCGGAAGAGGAGAGUGGAAUUCCUGGUGUAGCGGUGAAAUGCGCAGAUAUCGGGAGGAACACCAAUGGCGAAGGCAGCUCGCUGGGACGUGACUGACGCUGAGACGGCGAAAAGCGUGGGGGAGCAAACAGG